GGGAUAACUCUUAGAACCCCAUGAGUAGAGUGUUAAUAGCUGUGUCUUUGGCCGGACAUGGCGGUUAGUGAAUC
rnacentral:ncRNA from 1 species